rnacentral:rRNA from 1 species
CCUACGGUGGGCAGCAGUGGGGAAUAUUGCACAAUGGGGGAAACCCUGAUGCAGCGACGCCGCGUGAGUGAAGAAGUAUCUCGGUACGUAAAGCUCUAUCAGCAGGGAAGAAAAUGACGGUACCUGACUAAGAAGCCCCGGCUAACUACGGGCCAGCAGCCGCGGUAAUAAGUAGGGGGCAAGCGUUAUCCGGAUUUACUGGGUGUAAGGGGAGCGUAGACGGCAGCACAGGUUUGGAGUGAAAUCCCGGGGCUUAACCCCGGAACUGCUUUGGAAACUGUGCGGCUGGAGUGCAGGAGGGGGAAGCAGAAUUCCGAGGGGAGCGGUGAAAUGCGUAGAUAUUAGGAGGAACACCGGUGGCGAAGGCGGCUUACUGGACUGUAACUGACGUUGAGGCUCGAAAGCGUGGGGAGCAAACAGGAUUAGAUACCCGGGUAGGC